UGUGAGUGUGUCUGUGUGUUGUUGUCUCCAGGAGGUGCUCAGUGUGUCUCUGAGUGUGUGUUGUUGUCUCUAUGUCUCCAGGAGGUGCUCAGUGUGUGUGUCUGUGUGUUGUUGUCUCCAGGAGGUGCUCAGUGUGUGUGUCUGUGUGUUUUUGUCUCCAGGAGGUGCUCAGUGUGGGCGUGGGGCCCAGGACGGAGGCGGAGCUGCCCACCGGCCCUGAGCUCAGGGCUCUGCUGGGCCGGGUGGGAGAGGCCCUGGCCUGUAGGAAGUUCCUGACCCCGGUCUCCGAGCAGAUGUUGCUGCGCUCCACGGUGCUGUUGGCGUGUCAGAUCGGUACGACUCCACCCCGGGACGUCCUGCAACUAGAACAUGAUUCACUGGUCCAUCUCGUAUGGACGCACCGCGGCCGGCUCCGGGCUGGACCACCGUUCUCAUCAAAUAACAACCAAAACAAACGAGCAAAAACAAAGUUUAUUAGCAGUUAAAGGUCCCAUAUUACACCACCAGGUGUGAGUGUCCUUACAAGACGUUUGGAAAAUCUGCCUCUUGUGACAUCACUAGUGGGCGUGUCCACCUAGAUGUACGCUGGAUAGAUCAGUCUACCAGCCUACCCAGUGGACUGAAGCAAACGUUGCUCAUCUAUCCGUCACACAUCUAGGUGGACACGCCCACUUGUGAUGUCAGAAGAGACAGAUUUUCAAAAUGUCUUGUAACGGCUGAUCACUCACACCUGGUGGUACAAUAUGGGACCUUUUAAGUCUUUGUAUUAGCCCUGAUAUUGAUUGGAGUCUUGUCUAUCUGUCUGUCUCUCUUUGUCUGGCCUCUCUCUGUCUGUCCCUCUCUGUCUGUCUGGCCUCUCUGUCUGUCUGUCUGUCUGUCUGUCUGUCUGUCUGUCUGUCUGUCUGUCUGUCUGUCUGUCCUCUCUCUCUCUGUCUGUCUGUCUCU
ensembl:lncRNA